GCCUGGAUAGCUCAGUUGGUUAGAACAUGUGCUGAUAGUGCCAAGGUUGCAGGUUUGAUCCCUGUAUGGGACA